GACGAACGCUGGCGGCGUGCUUAACACAUGCAAGUCGAACGAUGAAGCCCAGCUUGCUGGGUGGAUUAGUGGCGAACGGGUGAGUAACACGUGAGUAACCUGCCCUUGACUCUGGGAUAAGCGCUGGAAACGGCGUCUAAUACCGGAUACGGCCUGCCCCGGCAUCGGGUGCGGGUGGAAAGUUUUUCGGUCAAGGAUGGACUCGCGGCCUAUCAGCUAGUUGGUGAGGUAAUGGCUCACCAAGGCGACGACGGGUAGCCGGCCUGAGAGGGUGACCGGCCACACUGGGACUGAGACACGGCCCAGACUCCUACGGGAGGCAGCAGUGGGGAAUAUUGCACAAUGGGCGAAAGCCUGAUGCAGCAACGCCGCGUGGGGGAUGACGGCCUUCGGGUUGUAGACCUCUUUUAGUAGGGAAGAAGGGCUUCGGCUUGACGGUACCUGCAGAAAAAGCACCGGCUAACUACGUGCCAGCCGCCGCAGUAA
rnacentral:rRNA from 1 species